CACCUGUUCCCAUGCCGAACACAGAAGUUAAGCUCUUUAGCGCCGAUGGUAGUCGGACUUACGUUCCGCAAGAGUAGGACGGUGCCAGGU
rnacentral:rRNA from 1 species